rnacentral:rRNA from 1 species
UACGAAGGGGGCUAGCGUUGUUCGGAAUUACUGGGCGUAAAGCGUGCGCAGGCGGUUUUCCAAGUCAGUGGUGAAAGCCCGGAGCUCAACUCCGGAACUGCCAUUGAAACUGUGAGACUAGAGUACGAGAGAGGUGAGUGGAAUUCCCAGUGUAGAGGUGAAAUUCGUAGAUAUUGGGAAGAACACCGGUGGCGAAGGCGGCUCACUGGCUCGUUACUGACGCUCAGGCACGACAGCGUGGGGAUCAAACAGG